rnacentral:misc_RNA from 1 species
GAUGAAGAACGCAGCGAAAUGCGAUAAGUAAUGUGAAUUGCAGAAUUCAGUGAAUCAUCGAAUCUUUGAACGCACAUUGCGCCCGCCAGUAUUCUGGCGGGCAUGCCUGUUCGAGCGUCAUUACAACCCUCAGGCCCCCGGGCCUGGCGUUGGGGAUCGGCGGAGCCCCCCGUGGGUACACGCCGUCCCCCAAAUGCAGUGGCGGUCCCGCCGCAGCUUCCAUCGCGUAGUAGCUAACACCUCGCGACUGGAGAGCGGCGCGGCCACGCCGUAAAACACCCAACUCUUCUGAAGUUGACCUCGAAUCAGGUAGGAAUACCCGCUGAACUUAAGCAUAUCAAUAAGCGGAGGA